GUCUCAGGUAACUUUCUUAGGUUACGUAAUUUCCAAAGACGGGUUUAUGAUGGACCCGACCAAACUAAAAUCGAUUUUAGAUUGGCCUUUACCUAAGGGACUCAAAGCCAUACAAAGAUUUUUUGGAUUUUCUAAUUAUUACAGACGUUUUAUUAAAGGGUACUCCUCUGUUAUCGCUCCUAUCACUAAUAUGACCAAACAAGGAGCCGAUACCAAAACCUGGUCUACUGAGGCUUUAUCUGCUUUCGAAUCGCUCAAACAGUCUUUUGCCUCAGCACCUGUAUUAGUUCAUCCUGAUACCUCUCUACCCUUCUUACUUGAAGUUGAUGCGUCUGAAACAGGGAUAGGCGCAGUGUUGUCCCAAAGACAAAGUUUAGAUAAGCCGCUGCACCCUUGCGGUUUUUUUUCCAAGAAACUAUCACACACUGAAAGGAG
rnacentral:lncRNA from 1 species